UCAACCUCACAGAUGAAAGAUUUAUCAAUGGAUUUUGUCAAUAGAUGAAAAACUGGAUAUAUUACAAUGUAAACUGAGUGAGUUCAAAUCUGGUUUCAGAAAUUUACUACGUGUGUCACCAUAGGUAAAUUAUUUAAUUAUGUUAGCCUUAGUUUCCUCAUGUGUAAAAUGAGCUAGAGAAGGAAAUGGCAAAACAUUCUAAAUAUCUUUGUCAAGAAAACCCCAAAUGAGGUCAUGAACAGUCAGACACAUCUGAAAACAACUGAACAACAAAAAUACCAAGUGAGGGAAGACCUUCACCAAUAAGAUUACAAUUUUAUCUAAUAAUCAAAAUAGGAGACAUCAUCUGGAAAUAAGGUGUAUAAAAUCUAACACUGAUUUUAAUUUAAAUUUCUUUCCACUUUCAGAGGACCAAGGAAUAAGAAAGACAAAACAGACUUUCUUAACAUGGACAAUUUUAGUAUAUCUAGCCUAAUUAUGAACACUAUUGUGGAGUUAGAGGACAGAUCUGGACAAAAAGCCAUCAAGACCUAGAUUCGAAUCUUAUUUUGCCACUGUAUGACACCAGAAUAGUUGCUUCUAGGGUGAAAGUACUCAUGGGAAUCACCCAGAUGCCAGAUGCCACCAUAACCUCCCAGCCUGAUGCUCUGGAUAUGGCCUACAGUCAAUACCUCUCUCUCUCCUAAUGUUAGGCAGGGACAUCUCUACGCCCAUUCUCAGCUGUGAAGAAGUUACAGAAGACAGACUGCCUUCCCUUUUUCCCUUACAUAUUAGGAGAGGGGGAGAUGACAUGGGCACUGUACCCCAGAAACCCAGGCCAACUAUUAUCAGGGAAACUCCCUUGCCUUUGCAUCCUUAUAACUCUUAACCUAGAAACACCCAAUGACCUCACCCAGGCUCCUGAGAUGUUUACCCUCUUUUGCCCUCUACAUUUAAGAUGGACAAAGAAAUGAAUCUUUAUGCCUCCAGGCAGACCCCAAUCAGAUGACCACCUCACCCCACCAAAUGCCUGAGGGACCAACACUCUCCAAGUCAAGUCCACACCAGGACAUAGCAUCUAAAGAGUAUAUAAACCCCAGAACUGAUGUCGUCUGGGGGACAGUCUUUCCAUCCAUGCUGUCCCCAUGGGGGAACAGCCUUUCCUUCAUGCUGUCCUCCCAAGGAAUUGCUCCCCAUCUUGCUGUUCCACGUUGCUAUUCUCUUGGCCACUCUCAACAUUACUUUCUAAAUUAAUAAAUCUAUUUUUUUUUGUUUUUAAGCUAA